rnacentral:rRNA from 1 species
GACGAACGCUGGCGGCGUGCUUAACACAUGCAAGUCGAACGGAAAGGCCCUGCUUUUGUGGGGUGCUCGAGUGGCGAACGGGUGAGUAACACGUGAGUAACCUGCCCUUGACUUUGGGAUAACUUCAGGAAACUGGGGCUAAUACCGGAUAGGAGCUCCUGCUGCAUGGUGGGGGUUGGAAAGUUUCGGCGGUUGGGGAUGGACUCGCGGCUUAUCAGCUUGUUGGUGGGGUAGUGGCUUACCAAGGCUUUGACGGGUAGCCGGCCUGAGAGGGUGACCGGCCACAUUGGGACUGCGAUACGGCGCAGACUCCUACGGGAGGCAGCAGUGGGGAAUAUUGCACAAUGGGCGGAAGCCUGAUGCAGCGACGCCGCGUGCGGGAUGACGGCCUUCGGGUUGUAAACCGCUUUCGCCUGUGACGAAGCGUGAGUGACGGUAAUGGGUAAAGAAGCACCGGCUAACUACGUG